CAGCAGCCGCGGGAAGACAGAGGAUGCAAGCGUUAUCCGGAAUGAUUGGGCGUAAAGCGUCUGUAGGUGGCUUUUCAAGUCCGCCGUCAAAUCCCAGGGCUCAACCCUGGACAGGCGGUGGAAACUACCAAGCUAGAGUACGGUAGGGGCAGAGGGAAUUUCCGGUGGAGCGGUGAAAUGCGUUGAGAUCGAAAAGAACACCAACGACGAAAGCACUCUGCUGGGUCGACACUGACACUGAGAGACGAAAGCUAGGGGAGCAAAUGGGAUUAGAUACCCCCGUAGUCCCUGUCUCUUAUAA
rnacentral:rRNA from 1 species